UUUCCGUAGGUGAACCUGCGGAAGGAUCACUCAUAAUAAGUGUUUUAUGGCACUUUUUUAAAUCCAUAUCCACCUUGUGUGCAAUGUCAGGGUUGACUUUUCUCUCGAGAGGAUCAACCCCAAACAUCAACUAUAUCUCAACUCUUUGUCUGAAAAAUAUUAUGAAUAAAACAAUUCAAAAUACAACUUUCAACAACGGAUCUCUUGGCUCUC
rnacentral:misc_RNA from 1 species